rnacentral:rRNA from 1 species
GACGAACGCUGGCGGCGCGCUUAACACAUGCAAGUCGAACGAGAAGCCCGGGCUUGCCCGGGUGGAAAGUGGCGAACGGGUGCGUAACACGUGAGCAACCUGCCCCGAAGACCGGGAUAACACCGGGAAACCGGUGCUAAUACCGGAUGCCCUCAUCAUGUCGCAUGGCGAGAUGAGGAAAUGGAUUCCGCUUCGGGAUGGGCUCGCGGCUUAUCAGCUUGUUGGUGGGGUAACGGCCUACCAAGGCUACGACGAGUAGCUGGUCUGAGAGGAUGUCCAGCCACACUGGGACUGAGACACGGCCCAGACUCCUACGGGAGGCAGCAGUGGGGAAUCUUGCACAAUGGGCGAAAGCCUGAUGCAGCGACGCCGCGUGCGGGAUGAAGGCCUUCGGGUUGUAAACCGCUUUCAGCAGGGACGAUAGUGACGGUACCUGCAGAAGAAGCCCCGGCCAACUACGUGCCAGCAGCCGCAGUAAGAC